rnacentral:rRNA from 1 species
UCCUACGGGAGGCAGCAGUGGGGAAUUUUGGACAAUGGGCGAAAGCCUGAUCCAGCCAUGCCGCGUGCAGGAUGAAGGCCUUCGGGUUGUAAACUGCUUUUGUACGGAACGAAACGGCCUUUUCUAAUAAAGAGGGCUAAUGACGGUACCGUAAGAAUAAGCACCGGCUAACUACGUGCCAGCACCCGCGGUAAUA